rnacentral:rRNA from 1 species
CUACGGGUUGCUCCAGUCGCGAAUCUUUUGCAAUGCGCGCAAGCGUGACAAAGCGAACCAAAGUGAUUUCCGCACAGGAAAUCUUUUCUUCACUUUAAAAAGGUGGAGGAAUAAGGACUGGGUAAGACCGGUGCCAGCCGCCGCGGUAAUCCCGGCAGUCCAAGUUGCAUCCAACAUUAUUGGGUCUAAAACAUCCGUAGCUUGUUUGUUAAGUUUCUUGUGAAAUUCUACAUCUCAAGGGUAGAGCGCGCAAGAAAUACUGACAGACUAGAGACCGGUAGGUGUAAUGAGUACGUCGGGGUAGUGGUAAAAUACGUUAAUCAUCGAUGGACUAACAAUCAGCGAAGGCACAUUACAAGGACGGAUCUGACAGUGAGGGAUGAAGGCUAGGGGCGCAAAACGGAUUAGAUACCCGAGUAGUC